rnacentral:tRNA from 1 species
GCCCCGGUAGCCCAACGGCAGAGGCGCGCCGCUCAGAACGGCGUCGGUGCGCGUUCGAAUCGCGCUCCGGGUAC